GGGGAAGAUGGUGAGAAUCCAUCACGGUGCCGCCACUGUAAACGGGGAGUGACCCUGCCGCAACGCCACUGUGGACGUCGUUCCAUGGGAAGGCGCAGGGAAACGUCGAUCCGUGAGUCAGGAGACCC
rnacentral:ncRNA from 1 species